CUCCUGAGAACCAGCCGACCCAGAAGCAUCUAGGUCAUUCUCUGCUCUGUGCUUCAGAAGAAGGCUGAGGACAAAAAAAAAAAGAUAGAUUCAAGAAGGUAUUUCCUGGCAUUUGGGGAUCAGCCGCUCAGGCCUGAAUAGAGGAGUGGAUGGGGAGGAAGUGAAAUGGACUCCGUUCAAAGACAAUAAAGCUGAUUCAGGGCAGCACCUGAUGUUGCAAGAGCCAUGCUUCCUGGUUCCUUCUUACCUCCAGACCGGAUAACAACCUCCUGGGCCCAGACUGGAAGAGGUGUCGGAAAGGAGAUUAGAGAUACAGCUUCUUUCCCUCAGUUCUGAGACCUUAGCCCUCCCUAAGCCAGGAAGUGUGCUGGACGAAGGCAGGUGAGAGUGUGGACACCGUUUCCCUGGCAACCUCCUACAGGACACUUGGGGCAAGGAAGUCUAUGGGGAAUUUGUCCAAGUCCUCGAUUUGGUAUUCCGGUUGAGCAGACUGGCAGUGGUUUUUAGCCUAAGAACUCUGUCUUCCUGUCCCAGGGGCGCCCUUAGGUUGCAGUGAUGGGAAACCUGUGACCCUGUACCAUGAAGGAGCUGCCUCAAUCAAUCCUUAGGGCUUUAUUACAGUUUUUAAAGAAAUAAGG
rnacentral:lncRNA from 1 species